UACGUAGGGGGCUAGCGUUGUCCGGAAUGACUGGGCGUAAAGGGUUCGCAGGCGGAUAUGCAAGUCUGAUGUAAAAGGCAGUGGCUUAACUACUGUAAGCGUUUGAAACUGCAGAUCUUGAGUAGCGUAGAGGUAAGUGGAAUUUCUAGUGUAGCGGUGAAAUGCGUAGAUAUUAAAAAGAAUACCAGUGGCGAAGGCGACUUACUGGGCUCAAACUGACGCUGAGGAACGAAAGCGUGGGUAGCAAACAGG
rnacentral:rRNA from 1 species